rfam:Frankia sp. BMG5.36 contig_221, whole genome shotgun sequence.
AGAGAGCCCUACAUCGAAGGAGUAGCGAUCCACGGUGGCCCCGAGUCAUGCGUCGGUGCCCGUGAGGGUGCCGGCGAAGCGUUGACAGGGGUACGCGUAGGCUGGCCAUUGAGCCGCGAAAUCACUGUUCCGGGGCGCCGACGCUGUCCCACGAAGCGGAAGGCCACACCGUUCGGCGGCGUUAUCGCGAGUCGUCGACGGGCCCUGCACGGUCUGAGAACC